CACAAAUAUGAAGGCGGGCUGGAACCUCUCGGGGUUACAGCCUUGCUGAAUUAUUCACCCUUGUCUUUUGCGUACUUCUUGUUUCCUUGGUGGGUUCGCCCACCACUAGGACAAACAUAAACCUUUGUAAUUGCAAUCAGCGUCAGUAACAAAUUAAUAAUUA
rnacentral:misc_RNA from 1 species